rnacentral:rRNA from 1 species
UACGUAGGUCCCGAGCGUUGUCCGGAUUUAUUGGGCGUAAAGCGAGCGCAGGUGGUUUAUUAAGUCUGGUGUAAAAGGUAGUGGCUCAACCAUUGUAUGCAUUGGAAACUGGUAGACUUGAGUGCAGGAGAGGAGAGUGGAAUUCCAUGUGUAGCGGUGAAAUGCGUAGAUAUAUGGAGGAACACCGGUGGCGAAGGCGGCUUUCUGGACUGAAACUGACGCUGAGGCUCGAAAGCGUGGGGAGCGAACAGG